rnacentral:rRNA from 1 species
CCUACGGGAGGCAGCAGUGGGGAAUUUUGGACAAUGGGCGAAAGCCUGAUCCAGCAAUGCCGCGUGAGUGAAGAAGGCCUUCGGGUUGUAAAGCUCUUUUGUCAGGGAAGAAACGGUGAGGGCUAAUAUCUCUUGCUAAUGACGGUACCUGAAGAAUAAGCACCGGCUAACUACGUGCCAGCAGCCGCGGUAAUACGUAGGGUGCAAGCGUUAAUCGGAAUUACUGGGCGUAAAGCGUGCGCAGGCGGUUUUGUAAGUCUGUCGUGAAAUCCCCGGGCUCAACCUGGGAAUUGCGAUGGAGACUGCAAGGCUAGAAUCUGGCAGAGGGGGGUAGAAUUCCACGUGUAGCAGUGAAAUGCGUAGAGAUGUGGAGGAACACCGAUGGCGAAGGCAGCCCCCUGGGUCAAGAUUGACGCUCAUGCACGAAAGCGUGGGGAGCAAACAGGAUUAGAUACCCUGGUAGUCCACGCCCUAAACGAUGUCUACUAGUUGUCGGGUUUUAAUUAACUUGGUAACGCAGCUACGCGUGAGUAGACCGCCGCGGAGGUACGGUCGUCGAGAGUUAAACUUACGUAAGAAGUUAGUAGGCGNGAGAGNGCGACGGACGACGACGAGGGAGGAGG